rnacentral:rRNA from 1 species
GAUCCUGGCUCAGGAUGAACGCUGGCGGCGUGCUUAAUACAUGCAAGUCGAACGAAGCACCUUGGACAGAAUCCUUCGGGUAGGAAGACCAUUGUGACUGAGUGGCGGACGGGUGAGUAACGCGUGGGUAACCUGCCUUGGUACAGGGGGAUAACAGUUGGAAACGACUGCUAAUACCGCAUAAGCGCACAGUACCGCAUGGUACGGUGUGAAAAACUCCGGUGGUACAAGAUGGACCCGCGUCUGAUUAG